CGGAGCAGUACGGCUUCAGAGAGGGCCGC
rnacentral:sRNA from 1 species